AUGAACGCUGGCGGCGUGCCUAAUCCAUGCAAGUCGAGCGAACGGACGAGAAGCUUGCUUCUCUGAUGUUAGCGGCGGACGGGUUAGUAACACGUGGAUAACCUACCUAUAAGACUGGGCUAACUUCGGGAAACCGGAGCUAAUACCGGAUAAUAUUUUGAGCCGCAUGGUUCCAAAGUGAAAGACGGUCUUGCUGUCACUUAUAGAUGGAUCCGCGCUGCAUUAGCUAGUUGGUAAGGUAACGGCUUACCAAGGCAACGAUGCAUAGCCGACCUGAGAGGGUGAUCAGCCACACUGGAACUGAGACACGGUCCAGACUCCUACGGGAGGCAGCAGUAGGGAAUCUUGCGCAAUGGGCGCAAGCCUGACGGAGCAACGCCGCGUGAGUGAUGAAGGUCUUCGGAUCGUAAAACUCUGUUAUUAGGGAAGAACAUAUGUGUAAGUAACUGUGCACAUCUUGACGGUACCUAAUCAGAAAGCCACGGCUAACUACGUG
rnacentral:rRNA from 1 species